rnacentral:tRNA from 2 species
GGGCGAUUAGCUCAAUUGGGAGAGCGCCGCGUUCGCAAUGCGGAGGUUGUGGGUUCAAGUCCCAUAUCGUCCACCA